UGUGGUUUUGGUUUGCAUUUCCCCGAUGACUAGUGAGGUUGAGCAUCUUUUCAUAUUCCUGUCAGCCAUUUGGAGAAAUGUCUAUUGAAGUUCUUGCCCAUUUUUUUGCCAUUGAGUUCUAGGGGUUCCUUACAUGUUUUAGACAUUAACCCCCUAUCCAAUAUGUUUCUAAAAUACUUUCUCCCUUUCUGUAGGUUGCCUUUGCACUCUGUUGAUUGUUUCCUUUGCUGCAUAGAGACUUUUUAGUUGGAUGUAGUCCCACUUGUCGGUUUUUCCUUUUGUUGCCAGUGCUUUUGGUUCCACAUCCAAGAAAUCAUUGCCAAGACUUAUGUUUAAGUCUUUAGUACAUCUUGAGUUGAUUUUUGUGUAUGGUUUUAAGAUUAGGGUCCAAUUUCACUUCUUUACACAGGAGUAUCUGGUUUUCCCAGCACCAUUUGUUGAAGAAGCUAUUCUUUCCCCGUCGUGUUGUCUUGGCACAUUUGUUGAAGACCAUAUAUGUGUGGGCUUAUUUCUGGGCUGUCAGUUCUUUCCCGUUGGUCUAUAUGUCUGUCUUUAUGCCAAUACCAUACUGUUUUGAUUAUUGUAACUUUGUAAUGUGGUUUCAAGACAGGAAGUGUGAGGCCUGCUGCUUUGUUCUUUCUCAGUUGUUUUGGUUAUUGGAAAUCCUUUGUGGUUCCAUAUGAAAUUUUAGAAUUUUUUUUCUAAUUCUGCAAAAAUUACAUUGGGAUUGCAUUGAGUCUGUAGAUCACUUUGGGUACAUUUGGGACAUUUUAAUAAUAGUCCAUGAACACAGGAUGUCUUACCAUUUAUUUGUGUUUUCCUUAAUCUCUUUCAGUGGUGUUUUGUAGUUGUCAGUGUAGAAGUCUUUCAUCUCCUUGCUCAAGUUUAUUUUAUUCUUUUUGAUGCUAUUGUAAAUAGGCCUCUUUUCUUAAUUUCCUUUUCAGAUUGUUUAUUUUUAGUGUAUAGAAACACAGCUGAUUUUUAUGUUGAUUUUGUAUCCUACAACUGUGCUGAAUUUAUUUGUUCUAACCGUUUUAUCAUGAAAUCUUUAGGGUUUUCUGCCUAGAAGAUCAUGUCAUCAGUGAACAGAGAUUCUUUUACUUCUUCCUCUCCCACUUGGAUGCCUCUUAUUUCUUUUUCCUACCUAAUCGGUCUAGCUAGGACCUUAGUACUACAUUGAAUAGAAGUGGUCAGAAGAAGCAUCCUUGCCCAAAAGCAUCGACUAGAAAUAUCUUUCUAUAACAUGAUAUUGGGAGGAGUAACUGAGAAUGUUUCAUUUUACUCCUUUUUAGAAGGUAUCUGCUUACUUGAUGAUGAGCUAGAGAGACAGGAAGGAAGCAAAGACAGUUUUUGGAACCAUGUAUGGUCACCUUCAAGAAAACACUGACCAAUGAGACAGUCCAGAAUUGUAAUCUGAGUAUCAAAUUUAUUUCAUCAAGACAAAAACACCAUAAAUGUGAGUCAAAUGGAAAGAGUUUGCAACCUAAUUUACACUUCCUUAAUUACAGUAAAAGUUACACUAGCAAAAACCCUUAUGAAUACAAGGAAUGUGGAAGAGCCGUCAAAAACAAGUGGUGUCUCAUUAGACAUGAAAAAAAGCACACAAGGAAAAAAACCUUUGGGUGCAAUGAGUGUGGGAAAGCCUUCCGAAAGAAGUCUUGUCUCAUUAGACAUGAAAAAAAGCACUCAAGGAAAAUAAAAACCUUUGAAUGCAAUGACUGUGGGAAAGCCGUUAGCAGUAAGAGACACCUUACAGCUCAUCAAAAAAUUCAGAGUGGAGAGAGACCCUUUGUGUGCAGUGAUUGUGGGAAAGCAUUUACAUGUAAAGCACAACUGGUGGAGAGAAGCCUUACGAAUGCGGUCAGUGCGGGAAAUCAUUCACUUGGCACUCCUCCUCUGCACAACAUGUGAAAUCUCACACACCCGAGAACUCCUUUGAAUGUAAGGAAUGUGGGAAAACCUUUAAGUACAGUUCAUCCCUUUAUAAACACUCCAGAAUUCAUACAGGAGAGAAACCCUACCGAUGCAGAGAGUGUGGCAAAGCCUUUGCAGACUCGUCAGUGCUGGUCAUGCGUCAGAGGAUUCACACAGGUGAGAAACCCCAUGGGUGCACUGGGUGUGGCAAAGCCUUCAUCAAGAAGUCACAUCUCCUGAAACAUUACUUAACUCACAGCAGGGCAACAAAAUAAAUGUAACACACAUGGGAAAUCUUUUAACCGGAAGACACAUCUCACCCUCCAUCAAAGAAGUCAUAAAAACAAAGAAGCUUUGUAAGUGUGGGGAAACUUAAAAUUUAGCCUUUUAAUAAAGCAGCAAAGAAUUCAUCAUGAGAAAAAACCCUAUCAGUUGAAUUAAGUGUGGGAAAGUGUGUCCUGAAAUUCAUAUUCUGUAAAUGAUAUUACUGAUUUUAUUGAAAAGAUUACAGAAAAUUUUGAGCUAUAGACAACUUUACAGUAAAGCUAAGAAAGUUGUGGAAAAAUGAGUAAUUAAGGGACCAGAGCAGUAUAAUUGCAUAUAUACACUUCCCUCAACUUAUGAUUUUUUACACAAAUUAUACAGAUGUCUGCAUUGCUUAAGAAAUUUGUAUAACUGUAGGCUGGAAAUAUGUGCUGUGCACAUUAUACAAAAUUAUAUAUGAUGAUGGUUGCACAACAUUGUGAACAUACUUAAUGCCAAUGAAUCGUACUCUUAAAAAUGGUUUAAAUAGUAAAUUUUAUGUUAUAUAUAUUUUACUAUAAUAAAAAUAUGUAAGUAAACUUAAACCCCUUCCAAAAUUAUAUCUAUUAAAAUCUCUGGUAAACCCCAUGGUUUUUAGGCCUCUUCAAGGCCUAAAAUCACCAUAUCCAGAAUUGCCAAUUAUAAGUGAAAUAAUAGGCCUCAUUAUUUAGAAUAAAGUUCAGUGCUAUGAACUUGAUCUCUAACCAUUUCCUGGCACCUAUGAAUAGUUGUGGCAGUUGUUAACUGAGAUUUCUUGAGCCACCUCUUAGAUAAUAAUCAGGGACAGUUAUGAAGUCUACUGGUCUGCUCACCUGAGACUAUCUCAUAAUAGGUUUUCUUUUCUGUGCAAAAUGUGUGUGUGUGUGUGUGUGUGUGUGCGUUUAAUCCUGGUUGACCAGACAGCAGCUGUGUUUUGUAUUACUCCAAGCACUUAGUACAGAGAAGGAGGCAUCCUGCAGGUAAACAGCCUUAAGUAAAAGCCAUCCCAUUUCACUGAUGCAGCUCCAUGAGUAGAAGUCAGCCUAGCUCAAGCAGCAUAGAACUGGGGUUCUUAGUUUAGAAAAAUUAGGUGUCAUCAUGCUUUGUGAGGCUUCUGGGGAAAAAAAAUCAAUUAUUACCUUUUAGUUUUAGAAAUUGACUCAGAGAUAUCUCAGGCUCAUUUGGAAAUUUCCAGGUGACUAGCAUAGGUAGAUCAAGCUAUUUUGAAAAGCUUUUUUCUGCUUCCUUGAACUGCUUAGCAACUCUUUUAUAAUUCGACAUUAUGUAAAUUCUGUGGAUUCCUUUUAAAGACACGUGAACUAGCGAUGAGGUAAGUGAAAAUUUUGCAUUUCACUCUAAGUGUUGCUUGCUAUUAUUAAAGAGUCUUUAAGCCCUUUCUUCAGAUGUAUUUGUGAAACUUAUGUACAGCAUUGAGCUUGAACCUGUAUUCACAAAACCAGGUUUUCUCUUGCAAGCAUACAUUUUUGGAUUAAAUGUGUGAACUUGGAAUUGUUUUUCCUCAUUAGCAUUCUUGCAGGGUGAUGAAAGACUUACGAAUGAAAGUGAUUUUCUGAAUAUCCAUCAAAUCGAAGAGGAAAAUAAUUAGCUAACUAUGAACCAUAAUGAACCAAAACUCAUUCGUGACCUCCAAAGAAGAAAACUCUAGGUCCAGAGGAUUUCACUGAUGAAUUCUACCAAACACUUAAGGAAGAAAUAAGAAUUCUUCACAGUUUCUUCUAGAAGAUAAAGAGGCAAUACUUUGUAGCUCAUUUUAUAAAGGAAGUAGUAACCUCAUGUCAAAGCAAGGCAAGACAGAAGUCACAGUCUUUUGUAACCUAACCACAGAAGUAACACCCCCAUCACUGUUGCCAUGAUCAUUUCAUUAUAAGAAACUGAAAGGGAAAUUAAUAUUGUUAGUAUUUCUUAUUCUGUUUGUUAGAGGCAAGUUAUUAUGAAAUAAUGCAAGAGGAAGGGAUUGUCCAAGGCUGUGAUUACUUGGGGGCGUGAAUAUCAUGGGAGCCAUGUCAGAAGCUUGUAACCGCAUACCCUUUUUAGAUGACCUAAAAUAAAAAAUUCUAACAAUC